UAGAGUUUGAUCCUGGCUCAGAACGAACGCUGGCGGCAGGCUUAACACAUGCAAGUCGAGCGCCUCGCAAGAGGAGCGGCAGACGGGUGAGUAACGCGUGGGAAUCUACCCAUCUCUACGGAACAACUCCGGGAAACUGGAGCUAAUACCGUAUACGUCCUUCGGGAGAAAGAUUUAUCGGAGAUGGAUGAGCCCGCGUUGGAUUAGCUAGUUGGUGGGGUAAUGGCCUACCAAGGCGACGAUCCAUAGCUGGUCUGAGAGGAUGAUCAGCCACACUGGGACUGAGACACGGCCCAGACUCCUACGGGAGGCAGCAGUGGGGAAUAUUGGACAAUGGGCGCAAGCCUGAUCCAGCCAUGCCGCGUGAGUGAUGAAGGCCCUAGGGUUGUAAAGCUCUUUCUAACGGUGAAGAUAAUGACGGUAACCCGUAGAAGAAGCCCGGGACUACUU
rnacentral:rRNA from 2 species